rnacentral:rRNA from 1 species
GAUGAACGCUAGCGGCAGGCUUAACACAUGCAAGUCGAGGGGUAGAGGAAGCUUGCUUCCUUGAGACCGGCGCACGGGUGCGUAACGCGUAUACAAUCUACCUUUUACAGAGGGAUAGCCCCAGAGAAAUUUGGAUUAAUACCUCAUAGUAUUUUCGGAUCGCAUGAUUUGAUUAUUAAAGUUACCAACGGUAAAGAAUGAGUAUGCGUCCCAUUAGCUAGAUGGUAAGGUAACGGCGUUACCAUGGCAAUGAUGGGUAGGGGGUCCGUGAGAGGGAGAUCCCCCACA